GUGGGGAAUUUUGGACAAUGGGCGCAAGCCUGAUCCAGCAAUGCCGCGUGCAGGAUGAAGGCCUUCGGGUUGUAAACUGCUUUUGUACGGAGCGAAAAGGCUUCCACUAAUACUGGGGGCUCAUGACGGUACCGUAAGAAUAAGCACCGGCUAACUACGUGCCAGCAGCCGCGGUAAUACGUAGGGUGCAAGCGUUAAUCGGAAUUACUGGGCGUAAAGCGUGCGCAGGCGGUUUUGUAAGACAGGUGUGAAAUCCCCGGGCUUAACCUGGGAACUGCAAUUGUGACUGCAAGGCUGGAGUACGGCAGAGGGGGAUGGAAUUCCGCGUGUAGCAGUGAAAUGCGUAGAUAUGCGGAGGAACACCGAUGGCGAAGGCAAUCCCCUGGGCCUGUACUGACGCUCAUGCACGAAAGCGUGGGGAGCAAACAGGAUUAGAAACCCCAGUAGUCC
rnacentral:rRNA from 1 species